rnacentral:lncRNA from 1 species
AAAAAAGAACAGAACGUUCAAUGUCUAUGAGGAUACAAAGUACAUGAUGAUGACAGAGGAAGAUGAAAGAGGCAAAGAAAUUGAAAAGGUAUACUCAUCCGUGCCCCCCAUCUCAUUUUGAUUGAUGCUUCUCUGUUCAAAAAAGUUGAGGCCCCCUGGAUUUUUGCAGAAGAAAAAAAUUCCCAUGCUCGAAAUAAACAACACAGCAUCUCUGCCCACUCUUUCACCCCAACCAAAAAAGUCAAAGCUCCCAUGGCUUUCCGUGCCACGAGAUGCUUUCUGGUUUAAAACACCAUCGCUGAUACGUACUUGCCGGCGUUAGCAAGCUGGUUCAUGUCGUGGCCUUCUUCCAAUUACCUUCUUAGACACUAGCAUGCAGCAGUAGACCAUUUUAGUUAGUAUGAUGAGCAGAUAGAUCUGCUAGAUUCGUUCAAUGUCAGUCUACCUGCAUUGCUCGCCAGUAGUAUAGCAGGAAAGAGAGCAUGUAUGCCAGGUUCUUGAAUUGGGAGCUGCUAGUACAGCUUCCAUGCGCGUGAGUUCUGAAAUUUUCAGCCAUGAAGUAGCACCCCCGUGAACUCGAGGUGUCUUAGCAGUGGGAUCUGCAAAACAAGACAUUUUGAGCCGCAACGUAAUAAGUACAAUGGCUAGCUCUCCAUGCAUGCCUAGUGUAUGGCUGAGCACAGUUUACCUGGCUGGUUAGCUGGUCAGCCAUGAAGAAAUCCGCCAUCAGAACCGGCAAGACAAGGCAUCCUGGUAGAUCAGAUCAGAUGAUCUAAUUCAAACAGACUUGACAGACAGACAGAUAUCUCACCCACUCCUAGUUUGUAUUACUUGACAAACAUCCCAUGCUCGGAUUUUUCUUAAACAUCCCAUGUAAAAAACACCUGCAACAAAAAAACAUGAUAAUUAGAAGAUAUCAUAAUAGAUUUCUCACCCACUCCUAGUUUGUAUUACUUAUUCAAAAUUGGAUUAACAUAUGCAAAAAAAUAUUUGUAUUACCUCUUCGAUUGGAUAGAAGACUAACACACUAUCCAUUAGUUUUUGCCCCCCCCUCCCUCCCCUGAUGAUCUGCCGCAAAACACACAAAAAAAGCUACACAUGAACUUCCCUCUGCCCUCCGCCUCCAAGAACUAUAUCUGCAUGAUCUGAACAUCCUCUGACUAAGCUGAAAACAACCAGAGCAAAAACACAAAUACAAGGCAAAAAAAUCCACAUAACACAAAAAAACAGCCAAGAUUGAAAAAAAAACUGGGCAUAAAUUUUCUUUCCCUUUUCGCAGAUUCAUGUUGAUGGUACUAACAAGUUUGUCACUGAAGACAACAUAUUCUCAGAAGAUGAAAUUACCAAUUUUCAGCAGCAUAUAUUGGAGAUAAUUGGAAGUACUCAGGUAAAAAGUAU